CUGCCCACCCUGGAAACGGCUCAG
rnacentral:siRNA from 1 species